rnacentral:rRNA from 1 species
UCCAGACUCCUACGGGAGGCAGCAGUGGGGGAUAUUGCACAAUGGGGGAAACCCUGAUGCAGCGACGCCGCGUGAGUGAAGAAGUAUUUCGGUAUGUAAAGCUCUAUCAGCAGGGAAGAAGAUGACAGUACCUGAGUAAGAAGCCCCGGCUAACUACGUGCCAGCAGCCGCGGUAAUACGUAGGAGGCAAGCGUUAUCCGGAUUUACUGGGUGUAAAGGGAGCGUAGGCGGCCUGGCAAGUCUGAUGUGAAAUACCGGGGCUCAACCCCGGGGCUGCAUUGGAAACUGGCAGGCUGGAGUGCCGGAGAGGCAGGCGGAAUUCCUAGUGUAGCGGUGAAAUGCGUAGAUAUUAGGAGGAACACCAGUGGCGAAGGCGGCCUGCUGGACGGUGACUGACGCUGAGGCUCGAAAGCGUGGGGAGCAAACAGGAUUAGAUACCCUGGUACUU